rnacentral:rRNA from 1 species
UGGGGCCCAGAUCGUUUACCGUGAAAAAAUUAGAGUGUUCAAAGCAGGCAGAUCCAAUUUUCUGCCACCGAAUACAUUAGCAUGGGAUAAUGGAAUAGGACCCUGUCCUCCUAUUUUCAGUUGGUUUUGGCAGCGCGAGGACUAGGGUAAUGAUUAAUAGGGAUAGUUGGGGGCAUUAAUAUUUAAUUGUCAGAGGUGAAAUUCUUGGAUUUAUGAAAGAUUAACUUCUGCGAAAGCAUCUGCCAAGGAUGUUUUCAUUAAUCAAGAACGAAAGUUAGGGGAUCGAAGACGAUCAGAUACCGUCGUAGUCUUAACCAUAAACGAUGCCGACCAGCGAUUAGGAGACGUUGAAUACAAAACACCACCAUCGGUGCGGUCGUCCUUGGCGUCGGUCUUUCGGGGCCGGCGCGGGGGCGGCUUAGCCCGGUGGCACCGGUGAAUGACUCCCCUAGCAGCUUGUGAGAA